UAACUUUAAUUUUUUCUUUUAUGAGCUUUAGACUAACCAUAUAGUUUAGUUAAUAAAAAAAAUGUAAUAAUGUUACUAAAGGAAUAUUUGUAUCCGAUAUAGUUUCCCUAGAACCUUUGGCCUGUGGAAGCUGGAAACUGUAGGUGAUUCCUUCAAGUUAGCUGUAAUCAGUGCUACUAUAAUAUCUUUCAGUUUACCAGUUUCAUUACCUUUUCAUUUAAAUUUUGAAGUCUUCAUCUGAUUUUAGCAAGUAUGAAUUAAUGUUUAACACUGAUAUAUCAUGCUUAUCUUCUGUCCUUUUCAGAUUUUUCAUUAAAGACCCUUGAAAUAAGAUUUUUAAGAAAAGGAUCACUUGAACAUUGUUUAAUUGUGAGGUGCUUGUCCUGCAUUUCUUUAUAAAGAAACUAUUUAACUAGUUGUUUAUACUGAUAAACAGAACACCCCUUGAAAUAUAAGGAUUCUUUUUUUCCCUUUCUCCAACUGAUGCUUGAAAAGUUUCUUUUGAUCUGAGUCUUGAAUAACAUUUAAACAACAAGAGCAAGAACAAGGAGAACACCACUACCGUCUGCCAACAAAUUCUAGCUGAUAAUGGGUGUCCUUAGCAAAUUAACAAUGAGCCAGCAAAGGAAGGGGGAAAAUGAAGUUCUUUUGACAAAUGUUUAAGAGAUUUAUAGCGGAAAAGUACAAAAGGUAUGCAUCAAUUAUCUGAUUGUAAAUCCAAAUUUCUACACAUAUGAAUCUACCCGGUGAUGCUUGGUUGUGCAUUUCCAUUUUCC